CCUCCUCUUCCCCCUCUCUCCAAUCCCUAAAACGAACCAGUAAAUAAUUUUGCUGAUCUCGAUUUGAUUGGACCUGGGUUCUCAUUUGGGAAUUGCAGCCCGUGUGUGUGCGCCAGGAAACUCAAUAUCAGUGCGUAGAUGUUUUUUAGAUCAGAAUUCGGGAGCUUUUGGUUGUCCAUGUACGUGAUACCUAAAUUACCUAGAUUGAUGUCUGUUGGUUCGGUUCAACGAAAAUUCACAGCACGCUUAUGUGCUGUCUGUCAGUACGUUACCCAGGAGUACUAGUUUCUCCAUAGAUUAGACCAGCACAAACUCUUGCAGUUAAUUAACUCGAGGAAUCAACGUUGCUGCAAACAAUAAAAUGCUAGUAUCUUCUUUUUUGGAGUACCUUGUUGAAACCGGAUGCAACCUGGGUGUUGUGCUAUGCAAGCACUAUACUUGUUUCUGUCCAGUUCACCUCUUGAUAACACAUUUUCUUGCCAUCAUAUUUGUUGCCCACAAGAAUCGACACUGCUAUGUGGUGGAGGUAGGGCGGGUCAAGAUCUUUGCGCUGGAGGAUGGGAAGACGAUGCGCGCGUUCUACUUCUACAUACUUACCCUGUUGUGCCUCAAGUUUGAGUGCUCGAGUGGCUGUGAGAUAUGGGGAAACGUGAAGAAGAUGUUGGCCAAGGCUGAAUCCAAACUCUCAGCUGCCGUAUAUUUUUUUGGCGUUAUGGUGGGUGCUGUACACAACGGUUUCAGCCUCAGCUUGUGGCUUUUGUGCUGAUGACAUCGUUCUUCUUCGGCUACAACCAUAGUGGCAUCAUCAAGCACACCACCAUGCAGAUCAUCUGCUGGGAAACUUGAAGAAGCUGUUGGCCAAGGCUGAAUCCGAACUCAGCAACCGUGUAUGUUCUGGCGUUAUGAUGGUGCUGUAUACAACAGCCGCGUCAAGUGGUUGCUGUUGUGGUGACGACAGUGUUCUUCUUUGGUUACAACCAUACUGGCAUCAUCAAACACACCAUGCAGAUCAUCUACCUAGCACCAGGAUGAUGACUUGAAGGAUUUGCAUCACUCAGUCCUCACAAGCAUGUAGUGCAACUUUUCUAUAUGAUAAACUAUAAUUUUGUCUGGCUGGAUGAGAUAAUCAAGUUUGGAUGGCUCUCUAAGCCAUACAAGGGUAUUGGUGUCUGCUUUGAGCAAACAAAAAAGGGCGAAGAUUUAGUAAUGUGAUCCUUACUUCCCAACUCAGGGGAUGGCGAGUCGCUGGCGAGGACGACAUGGCCAGGGCCAUGUGCUGUGUCUAAUCUUUGUCUGAUUUAGUCGGGCAUCCAUCUCUGGGCUGUUGCGCGGCUGCUUGUUUGUCUUCCGGUGAGACCUCUCAUCAUCAAACACACCAUGCAGAUCAUCCGCCCUGCAGGGAUGGCGAGUCGCCAGCGAGGAUGACAUGUCCAGGGUAUGUUCCGUGGCCCAUCUUUGGCUGGUUCAGUCUGGCGUCCAUGUGGCGGAUGCUGUGCUGCUGUUGCUUGUUCGUGUAUUUGAAAUAAUGUUUUGAAUGGUUGUAAUAUAGUUGACAUGCUGAGAAAGCUUGCCACAAAGCUGUGUAUGUGCUGCGCGUGCUGUCAGUUGUGCUGUUUUGGUCUGGCUGUCUCGACAGCAGCAGUGGUGCAUCUUUGUAUGUGAAAAAAUGUUUCAGUUGCUGUAAUAUUGGUGUAUUGUAAUGCUCCGGUCGAGAAGCUAUGUGAAAAAAAAUGCGCUUUGAGAGGUUUU